rnacentral:rRNA from 1 species
AGAAUCAACGCUGGCGGCGUGCCUAACACAUGCAAGUCGCACGAGAAAGUGGAGCAAUCCACGAGUAAAGUGGCGCACGGGUGAGUAACACGUGAAUAAUCUACCUCCGAGUGGGGAAUAACUGAGAGAAAUCUUAGCUAAUACCGCAUAACACUUACGAGUCAAAGCAGCAAUGCGCUUGGAGAGGAGUUCGCGGCCGAUUAGUUAGUUGGCGGGGUAAUGGCCCACCAAGACGAUGAUCGGUAUCCGGCCUGAGAGGGCGCACGGACACACUGGAACUGAAACACGGUCCAGACUCCUACGGGAGGCAGCAGUGGGGAAUUUUGCGCAAUGGGGGAAACCCUGACGCAGCAACGCCGCGUGGAGGAUGAAGCCCCUUGGGGUGUAAACUCCUUUCGAUCGGGAAGAUAAUGACGGUACCGAUAUAAGAACGCCCGGCUAACUUCGUGCCAGCAGUCGC